rnacentral:rRNA from 1 species
UACGUAGGGUGCUAGCGUUGUUCGGAAUUACUGGGCGUAAAGCGCGCGCAGGCGGCUUGGUAAGUUGGGGGUGAAAUCCCUGGGCUCAACCCAGGAAUGGCCUUCAAGACUGCUUGGCUGGAGGACGAGAGAGGUGAGUGGAAUUCCCAGUGUAGAGGUGAAAUUCGUAGAUAUUGGGAAGAACACCGGUGGCGAAGGCGGCUCACUGGCUCGUUUCUGACGCUGAGGCGCGAAAGCGUGGGGAGCAAACAGG